rnacentral:rRNA from 1 species
UCUGGUGGCUAUGGCGAAGGGGUCACACCUGUUCCCAUCCCGAACACAGCAGUUAAGCCCUUCAGCGCCGAUGGUACUCGGACCGCAGGGUCCCGGAAGAGUAGGUCGCUGCCAGAC